UACAGAGGGGGCAAGCGUUGUUCGGAAUUACUGGGCGUAAAGGGCUCGUAGGUGGCCUUCUAAGUUGAACGUGAAAUCCCUGGGCUCAACCCAGGAACUGCGUCCAAGACUGGGAGGCUUGAAUCCGGGAGAGGGAUGCGGAAUUCCAGGUGUAGCGGUGAAAUGCGUAGAUAUCUGGAGGAACACCGGUGGCGAAGGCGGCAUCCUGGACCGGUAUUGACGCUGAGGAGCGAAAGCCAGGGGAGCAAACGGG
rnacentral:rRNA from 1 species